CUCAGUUACGGGUGCUCAUAUUUUGAGAGCCAUCUCAAAAAGAAAUACUGGAAAUGCGACGACUAUCGACAAAGACCCGAAACUGAGCAAAAGCGUCAUUCAAUUGGGGCUCGAAUGAACAGUGACGCCCCAGUGAACAGUCCACGCGCUUUAGAUUAUAGAUAAUAUUGGGUUCUUGGAAUCGGAGGAAGAGGAGAAAAGGGUUGUUAUUGGAGCAUAUAAUAGGAACAGUGUGCAAUCAAAAUUUGGAAGUGUUUUGAACUCAGAACAUUCUUCUUCUAGACUGUGAAAGGAAGCGUAUUACGUACUCUAAUAAUUGGCCAACAAAUGCUACAAAGCUAGCUUGAAAAAUCUAUGUUGAUUAAGACCAAAGACAAAUGCAUGGAUAAAAGUUAUGCAACAAUGAUAUCAUUGAAGUACAUACAGUGCUCCGAUUUUUUCUUUUUCGUUUUCUUUUAUUGAUAUGCUACAAAAAGUCAUGUUAUAUCACUAGAAUUGCAGUCUUCAUAAUUUACUAUUGUAUCUUUUGCUGCGGAGGUUAUGAUGUUCAAGUGCAACGUUUUAUAUAAGUUUGUCCAAGACCUUUACUUCUUUGUGACUGGAGGUGAUGGUGAAAAUGAACUCAUUUAGCCACUGUACUUCAGGGAUUCUUUGAUGCAGAUGCCCUUUUCUUGAGGUAGACAAUUGGUCUCCUCACUGAGUUGGCUUACAAUAAGAUACUCUACAAUCUGGAUUUCAGAAAUAAUGCAAUCACACAGUGGUCACAUCUGAAGGUUAGAUGCAGAAAAUUGAAACUUUUCUUUGUAUAAUUUUGUUUCUUUAUUUCAUUUUACUAUGGUUCUCUUUUAUGUUCCAAUGUUUCAUUUAUUGAUCGAUCUGAAGAACCUCAAUCUGCAUGCUCAAAAGCUUAAAACAGCAAAACAGCGCAUUCUUUUGCAAUUGAUGAAGCCGAAUCCUAGAUAAAGGCAAAUGAUAUUCAUUAAGAAAAGGCUCCAAUUGCAGGUUUCAAUUCUCCGACUAUGAUCUGGAUUUCAGUUGGUUUCAACUACGAGUGGUACACUGAAAAACUUCUUUUGACUGCCAAAAAGGUUAUUUUGGCGGCUGUAAGAAAACUGGAUCUGCAGACUUGCUUUUUUCAACUUGAGGCGCCAAUAACUUUGAUGCUCUAAGCAGAAUUCCAGAAGGCAAGACAUAUUAUUAGAUGGCACUACAAUUGCAGUUGGGCAACUCUUUGAAUUCGAAGCAAGAAAACCGUAAGUCCCUCAAUAAAGUAGCAUGAUAUCUGAUUAGAAGUCAGAACAUUCAAAUGUGCUCAGGUUACACACUAAAAUAAAGUAUUAAGCAAUUUAAUUGAUUCAAAAUCUAUGCCGCUUGCAUGUCCAGAGAAACAUAAAGGUGUCACAAAACUGGCAGACUAUUGUCUUCAUGAAUUGAUACUACCAUUUAUGAAAACAACAAUAUAAAAAAAAAAAAAUCUAUCAAUAUAAGGGUGGUAUAUGCUACAUAUAUUUUUCCAUUACCUAUAU